rnacentral:rRNA from 1 species
CAGUCGCCGCGGUAAUACGUAGGUGGCAAGCGUUGUCCGGAAUUAUUGGGCGUAAAGGGCUCGCAGGCGGUUCCUUAAGUCUGAUGUGAAAGCCCCCGGCUCAACCGGGGAGGGUCAUUGGAAACUGGGAAACUUGAGUGCAGAAGAGGAGAGUGGAAUUCCACGUGUAGCGGUGAAACGCGUAGAGAUGUGGAGGAACACCAGUGGCGAAGGCGACUCUCUGGUCUGUAACUGACGCUGAGGAGCGAAAGCGUGGGGAGCGAACAGGAUUAGAUACCCCAGUAGUCCCUGUCUCUUAUAC